rnacentral:rRNA from 1 species
CAGCCGCCGCGGUAAUACCGGCGGCCCGAGUGGCGGUCACUAUUAUUGGGCUUAAAGCGUCCGUAGCCGGGUUGGGAAGGCCUCCGGGAAAUCUGGCCGCUUAACGGUCAGAAUGCCGGAGGAUACUCCCAGCCUAGGGGGCGGGAGAGGCCGAGGGGAUUCCCGGAGGAGGGGUGAAAUCCUAUAAUCCCGGGAGGACCACCUGUGGCGAAGGCGCUCGGCUGGAACGCGUCCGACGGUGAGGGACGAAGGCCAGGGGAGCAAACCGGAUUAGAUACCCGGGUAGUCCUGGCUGUAAACGAUGCGGACUUUGUGUCGGACAAGCUAUGAGCUUGUCCGGUGCCGGAGGGAAACCGUUAAGUCCGCCGCCUGGGGAGUACGGCCGCAAGGCUGAAACUUAAAGGAAUUGGCGGG